rnacentral:piRNA from 1 species
UUGGCUUCAUUACUUCAAAAUACCUGGGUA